UGGCCAAGCUAUUAAGGGCAUGUGGGGGAUGUCUUGGCAUUGGAAGAAAGGGCGUGGAAGUCUGCGAAAAGCCCGGGGGAGUUGACAAACGAGCGUUAAUCCUGGGAUUCCCAUUGCUAACCCGGCGAAGUGAAACAUCUCAGUAACCGGUGGAAAAGAAAGAAAAAUCGAUUCCCUGAGUAGCGGCGAGCGAAACGGGAAUAGCCCAAACCGUGGGGAUUUUCCCUGCGGGGUUGUAGGACCUUCUAUAUGGGAAGCAACGAGGUAGUAGAACGACUUGGAACGGUCGGCCACAGAGGGUGACAGCCCCGUAAACGACACCAGAGUUGAUACCAGAAGGCACCUGAGUAGGUCCGGUCACGUGAAACCCGGACUGAAUCCACGGGGACCAUCCCGUAAGGCUAAACACUCUCCAAUGACCGAUAGUGAACUCAGUAGCGUGAGUGAAAGAUGGGAAGAACCCCUGCUAGGGGAGGAUACUGAACCUGAAACCACAUGCCUACAAGCGGUCAGAGCACUAUGUUUACAUGUGUGAUGGCGUGCCUUUUGCAUAAUGAUCCGGCGAGUUACUUUCUGCGGCUUGGUUAAGAGUCUCCGGCUCGAAGCCCAAGGGAAACCGAGUCUUAAUAGGGCGAAAUUGUCGUAGGGAGUAGACGCGAAACUGCGUGAUCUACCCAUGAGCAGGUUGAAGCGCGAGUUAUAUCGCGUGGAGGACCGAACCCACUUGGGUUGAAAACCGAGGGGAUGACUUGUGGGGAGGAGUGAAAGUCUAAUCAAACGCAGUGAUAUCUCGUUCUCUCCGAAAUAUCUUUUGGGAUAGCGUCGAGCCACUAUGCACCGGGGGUAGAGAUACUGAAUUGGAUGGGGGCCCUUCCCGGGGUACCCCACUGAACCAAACUCCGAAUACCGGUGUAACUAUCUCGGCAGUCAGUCCACGUGGGAUAAGCUGCGUGGUCGAAAGGGAAACAACCCAGAUCGUCGGCUAAGGUCCCGAAGUCAUACUUAGUCACUAAGGAAGUUAGAGUGCUGAGACAGCCAGGAUGUUGGCUUAGAAGCAGCCACCAUUUAAAAAGUGCGUAACAGCUUACUGGUCGAGCAUUCUUGCGCCGAUAAUGAACGGGAGUAAGUAUGACACCGAAGCCACGGGUUCACCUUCGGGUGAGCGGUAGGAGAGCGCUCUAGAUCAGAUACAAGCGGUACCGUAAGGAGCCGUGUCGGGGUCUAGAGGUGAUUAUGCCGGAAUGAGUAACGAUAAAGCAGGUGAGAAUCCUGCUCGCCGAAAGCCUAAGGUUUCCUGGGGAAGGCAAUUCCGCCCAGGGUUAGCCGGUCCCUUAGUCGAGGCCGAAAGGCGUAGACGAUGGACAUCAGGUCAACAUUCCUGAGCCAGUUGUGUGGAGCGAUGGAGGGACGGCGUCCAGAAAGUGAGCGGUACGAAUAGAAAUGUCCGUGGAGGCAGUUGAGGUGGCCAGGGUUAAAAGACUGGCUAUAGCCAAGACUGUCGACCGAGAGCAUUUAAGUUCUCGAAGUCAUUGGAAGGACGUCCAAGAAAAGCUUCUAAGCUUUGAAGCACACUGACCGUACUAAAACUGACACAGGUAGGCGAGACGAGAAGUCUAAGGCGCUCGGGAGAACGGUGGUUAAGGAACUCUGCAAAAUGGCCCCGUAAGUUCGCGAUAAGGGGUGCCCCUGGUGGUUCACGCUGCUGGGGGCCACAGUAAAUCGGUAGCUGCGACUGUUUAUCAAAAACACAGGACUCUGCUAACACGCAAGUGGAUGUAUAGAGUCUGACGCCUGCCCGGUGCUGGUAGGUUAAGGAAGUCGGUUCACGCUGACGACCGAAGCCCCAGUAAACGGCGGCCGUAACUAUGACGGUCCUAAGGUAGCGAAGUUCCUUGUCGGGUAAGUUCCGACCUGCAUGAAAGGCGUAACGACAGCUACACUGUCUCAACCACCGACCCGGUGAAAUUGUAGUCGUGGUGAAGAUGCCACGUACCCGCGGUUAGACGGAAAGACCCCGUGAACCUUUACUGUAGGCAGAUAUUGGGCUGAGAUAUGUUUUGUGUAGGAUAGGUGGGAGGCUUUGAUCUGGUAGCGCCAGCUAUCAAGGAGCCGUCCUUGAAAUACCACCCUGAAUAUGUUUUAGUUCUAACCAUGAUCCAGUGAAUCCUGGCAUGGAACAGUGUCUGUUGGGCAGUUUGACUGGGGCGGUCUCCUCCCAAAGAGUAACGGAGGAGUACAAAGGUACCCUCAGCCUGGUUGGCAAUCAGGCAUAGAGCGUAAAGGUAGAAGGGUGCUUGACUGCGAGACUCAUAAGUCGAGCAGGAACGAAAGUUGGUCUUAGUGAUCCGGUGGUUCCGAAUGGAAGGGCCAUCGCUCAUCAGAUAAAAGGUACUCCGGGGAUAACAGGCUUAUCGCUCCCGAGCGUCCAUAGCGGCGGAGCGGUUUGGCACCUCGAUGUCGGCUCAUCACAUCCUGGGGGUGAAGAAGCUCCCAAGGGUUUGGCUGUUCGCCAAUGAAAGUGGUACGUGAGCUGGGUUCAGACCGUCGUGAGACAGGUCGGUCCCUAUCUGCCGUGGGCGUACGAAACUUGAACGGGUUCUUCUUUAGUACGAGAGGAUUUGGAAGGACGAACCUCUGGUGUCCCAGUUGUCACGCUAGUGGCACGGCUGGAUAGCUAAGUUCGGAAAGGAUAAACGCUGAAAGCAUCUAAGCGUGAAGCCCUCCGUGAGAUAAGGUUUCGUUGCCUUGUGCGAGAGUCCCCUCGAAGACGACGAGGUUGAUAGGCCAGAUGUGUAAGCUCAGUAAUGGGUUCAGCUUACUGGUACUAACGGACGAAUGCUUGGCCAC
rnacentral:rRNA from 1 species